CUCUCUCUCUCUCCUCUCUUUCCCCUGCAUUUCUACAAUAAAGCUCUUAAACCAUAGAGAGUCUCUACUCCAUCAAGAUCCGCUGCGCACUCUGGUCCCAACAAAAGCACCAUGAAAAAGGCUUACGGAGACCUUCCUGGAGGAAGAAUGGACCCAGUUCUAUAGCUGCUGAAGAGUUGCAGAGCUGCAGAGCUAUUGAGGCGAACUAGCUUUCAGAGUUAAGUUGAAGCACAGAGGUGAAGGGUAAGGUAGCUUCCAGAAGGACAGCAUGAUGAAUGGACAGAUAGCAGCUCAGGUAGACCACAUCUCAGAAGGGAGUGUGCACAGGUGAAAGCCCUGGGAAAGGCAGGAGGUUUCUGUCCCUGCUACACACACCAGAUGAGAAGACAGGUUGCUGGAGGCAAUCACUACCUCAGCCUUCAGUGUCCUCCUGUAUCUGGGGUCCAGG
rnacentral:lncRNA from 1 species